GUAUUGUAGCGCCACAUGUUUGAAACCAAGAUAUAAGUACCUCAUCAUCAUAUUCAUCAUCAAUCAAUGAUGGUGUAGUGGAAGCCAAGUUUUCACGAUCAAUAGUUUAAUUUGGAGCAAUGCAAUUAGAAUCAGUGUUAUCACAACAUUCAGAUGUACACUUCCUUUUUGUUGCUAAGUAAAACCUUAAUGAUUUUAAUCCUGUUAAU